UACAGAGGUCUCAAGCGUUUGUUCGGAUUCAUUGGGCGUAAAGGGUGCGUAGGCGGCGCGGUAAGUCGGGUGUGAAAUCUCGGGGCUUAACUCCGAAACUGCAUUCGAUACUGCCGUGCUUGAGGACUGGAGAGGAGACUGGAAUUUACGGUGUAGCGGUGAAAUGCGUAGAUAUCGUAAGGAAGACCGUGGCGAAGGCG
rnacentral:rRNA from 1 species